rnacentral:rRNA from 1 species
CAGUCGCCGCGGUAAUACGUAGGUCCCGAGCGUUGUCCGGAUUUAUUGGGCGUAAAGCGAGCGCAGGCGGUUAGAUAAGUCUGAAGUUAAAGGCUGUGGCUUAACCAUAGUACGCUUUGGAAACUGUUUAACUUGAGUGCAAGAGGGGAGAGUGGAAUUCCAUGUGUAGCGGUGAAAUGCGUAGAUAUAUGAAGGAACACCGGUGGCGAAAGCGGCUCUCUGGCUUGUAACUGACGCUGAGGAGCGAAAGCGUGGGGAGCGAACAGGAUUAGAUACCCGAGUAGUCCCUGUCUCUUAUACA